AUUGAACGCUGGCGGCAGGCUUAACCCAUGCAAGUCGAGCGAGAGGCGGACGGGUGAGUAAUGUCUGGGAAACGGCCUGAUGGAGGGGGAUAACUACGGGAAACGGUACCAAAUACCGACUACAAUCAGAUGGGCCCAGAUGGGUUUAGCUAGUAGGUGGGGUAAUGGCACACCAAGGCGACGAUCCCUAGCUGGUCUGAGAGGAUGACCAGCCACACUUGAACUGUGACACGGUCCAGACUCCUACGGGAGGCAGCAGUGGGGAAUAUUGCACAAUGGGCGCAAGCCUGAUGCAGCCAUGCCGCGUGUGUGAAGAAGGCCUUCGGGUUGUAAAGCACUUUCAGCGAGGAGGCGUUACUCGCAGAAGAAGCACCGGCUAACUCCGUGCCAGCAGCCGCGGUAAUAC
rnacentral:rRNA from 1 species